rnacentral:lncRNA from 1 species
AACACAGGGCUCGAAUGUGGACAGGAGGAGGACCUAAGUGGACCCGGAGGCUGAGCUGGCCUCGCAGCACUGGUGGUGGGGGAGGGCUGAUGGUCAGGACUCUGGGUCUUUGGCACUGCUGCCUAGGCCGUGGCCCUCAGUCUGCCCAUCUGUGAAAUGAGGGGGAGCUGGUCCUGACUGCCUCCCAGGGACCCUGUGAAAAGCCGCUCUGAACUCCUUGCCAGAGAGGAGGUUUGCCGGUGCCACAAUCCAGCAUUUCUGGGGUUCACUCUGCUCUGGGUACUGUGUAAAGGACUCCACAGCCAUCAACUUCCCUUCAUCCUUGCCGUGUCUUUGAAAGAGCUGAGAUUUCUUUACAUCACAGUGGUUCAAGGAGAAAAACACAGCCAGAUCCUUCCUCAUCUCAACAUAAAUUAAACCCAGAGGCAGUCAGCGCCACAGUCCACACUCGUAACCGUUACACUCACCUGGAAAUAAAAGUAUUUUUGUGCGGGGACUGCAAGGACUAAGCCCGGCCGCACUCCGAGUUUCUCCUCCUCACAGACUGGAUGAUGAGAGGCACAGCUGAGUCCGGAGCAGACUGAGCCACCUAAGAGGGGAGGAACCGCUGCAGAGAAACCGUGUUAAGCCUUUUUGAAGUUCCAGAGGGAGAACAAGAGAGCGGAGGCUCCUGGUGGCUGGUGACAGGUGCUGAUUUGUUCUGGGGAAAGAGCACAGAAAAGUGCCUGGAGAGGAGGCGGGGCCAAAAUGGGAUGUAGGCGAUGGGAAGGACCCUCAAGACACAGUCCUGGGCUCCCAGGCAGGACCAACCCCCAAACCUGUCCCCCCAGGAGCCUGCAGAGCCACUGCCCUGACAGGGGACACCUCACUUCCUCUCCUUGCAGCUGCUCUUGGCUGGGAGAGCAGAGAACAGGGGACAGGAGAGAAGCCCCGAGAGUACUGAAGCUGAGGCUGGGGCGGUCUUCACUUCCCUCUUUCCUCGGCCCUUUUCCUGUUCUCUUGUCUUGUCUCUCUUUCUCUACUUUCCUUCUCCCUAGCCCAGUCUCUCACCGCUCUUCAGCCUCUGGGCCUUUCCUUCUUCCUCUCUUGCCCUCAUUCUUCCUUCUCUGUCCCUCUUGUCUUCUCUUUUACCUCUUCUCUUCUUCCCUCCUUCCUACAGCUAUGCCCUCUUCCCUCCUUUCUCUUGUCCCCAACCAGGGCAUUAGAAAUGCAUUCCAGUUACACUGAUCUGAUCACUGCAUAUUGUAUGCAUGCAUCAAAAUAUCACAUGUACCCCAGAAAUAUGUAAAUUACUGCAUAUCAAUAAAAAGAAAUGUAGCUUCUUUGCCUCACAUACAGAAAAGCCAAUCUGAAGUAUAAAUAAAUAAACAAACAAAUAAAUAAAACGAACCACACUGGCCCCCCCGCCGCCUCCCAGCCAUCAUCUGGGCCUGCCACUAUUUGCUCAGGGUAUCUAAACAUCAGCCAAAAUCAAAGAAAAAGUUUUAAAAUCUAUUGUUAAAAAUUUCCAAGGCUAAGUUGACAUGCAUGUACAAUAGCAUUUCCCAAACUGUGACUUAAUAAACUCCAAGCCUUCAAGUUGGGAGAGGUGGUUCCAUGAUACCGUUAAAAGCACAGACUGAAGCCCAUCUGCCUGGGUUUAAAUCCUUGCUCUGCAGCAUGAUAGUUAUGUGACC